UACGGAGGGUGCAAGCGUUAUCCGGAUUCACUGGGUUUAAAGGGUGCGUAGGUGGGCAAGUAAGUCAGUGGUGAAAUCUCCGGGCUUAACCCGGAAACUGCCAUUGAUACUAUUUGUCUUGAAUACUGUGGAGGUCAGCGGAAUAUGUCAUGUAGCGGUGAAAUGCUUAGAUAUGACAUAGAACACCCAUUGCGAAGGCAGCUCACUACACGAUAAUUGACGCUGAGGCACGAAAGCGUGGGGAGCAAACAGG
rnacentral:rRNA from 1 species